rnacentral:tRNA from 1 species
AUUUAUAUAGUUUAUUAAAAAAACAUUACAUUUUCAAUGUAAAAAUAAUUUCCUAAUUUAUAAAUA